UACGUAGGGGGCAAGCGUUGUCCGGAAUCAUUGGGCGUAAAGAGCGUGUAGGCGGUCCGUUAAGUCGGCUGUGAAAGUCCAAGGCUCAACCUUGGGAUGCCGGUCGAUACUGCCGGACUAGAGUUCGGAAGAGGCGAGUGGAAUUCCCGGUGUAGCGGUGAAAUGCGCAGAUAUCGGGAGGAACACCCGUGGCGAAAGCGGCUACUCUGGGACGGUACUGGACGCUGAGACGCGAAAAGCGUGGGGAGCAAACAGGG
rnacentral:rRNA from 1 species